rnacentral:rRNA from 1 species
GUGCCAGCAGCCUCGGUAAUUCCAGCUCCAAUAGCGUAUAUUAAAGUUGUUGUGGUUAAAAAGCUCGUAGUUGAACCUUGGGCCUGGCUGGCCGGUCCGCCUCACCGCGUGCACUGGUCCGGCCGGGCCUUUCCCUCUGUGGAACCCCAUACCCUUCACUGGGCGUGGCGGGGAAACAGGACAUUUACUUUGAAAAAAUUAGAGUGCUCCAGGCAGGCCUAUGCUCGAAUACAUUAGCAUGGAAUAAUAAAAUAGGACGCGCGGUUCUAUUUUGUUGGUUUAUAGGACCGCCGUAAUGAUUAAUAGGGACAGUCGGGGGCAUCAGUAUUCAACUGUCAGAGGUGAAAUUCUUGGAUCAGUUGAAGACUAACUACUGCGAAAGCAUUUGCCAAGGAUGUUUUCAUUAAUCAGGAACGAAAGUUAGGGGAUCGAAGACGAUCAGAUACCGUCGUAGUCUUAACCAUAAACUAUGCCGACUAGGGAUCGGACGGUGUUAUUCAUGACCCGUUCGGCACCUUACGAGAAAUCAGAGUGCUUGGGCUCCAGGGGGAGUAUGGUCGCAAGGCUGAAACUUAAAGAAAUUGACGGAAGGGCACCACCAGGGGUGGAGCCUGCGGCUUAAUUUGACUCAACACGGGGAAACUCACCAGGUCCAGACACAAUAAGGAUUGACAGAUUGAGAGCUCUUUCUUGAUUUUGUGGGUGGUGGUGCAUGGCCGUUCUUAGUUGGUGGGGUUGACUUGUCUGCUAAUUGCGAUAACGAACGAGACCUUAACCUGCUAAAUAGCCCGCAUUGCUCCGGCAGUGCGCUGGCUUUCUUAGAG